CCACUGCGUGGCGGCCAUGUUGUCUUCUCGGGCUACUUCCGGUGGGGGUUCACUCGUUACAGAUCCGGCCGGAAACGCAGCGACAGGUGGAUGUCUUAUCUGAGCAAGAGCUGGGAGGACAACCUUGGUCUCUGAUUAAGGUGCUUGAGGCAGCAGAGGGGACACAGCAUGGAUCAUUCCCCCUUCACCCUCACCAAUAAGAACAGGGACCUGCCUCAAAGUCAUAUAGGGUUCAACAUGAAUAGGAGUGGAAAAAAGGCAUCAAUAAAAAAAUUUUUUAAAGGAAAAAUAAGAUCUAAAUUGGUUGAUUUCCUUUUUUUAAAAUGCCCUGGAUUUAUGAUAAAGAAUGCUAUGCACCUCCAGAGAAACUGAUGGAGUCUGAAUGUAGGUCGAAGCAU